CUUUUGGAGAGUUUGAUCCUGGCUCAGAGUGAACGCUGGCGGCGUGGAUUAGGCAUGCAAGUCGAGCGAUAUUAUUUACGGAGAGGUUGAAGCCGCAAGGCAGAUGCCAAUUCGUUUUUAAUAUAGCGGCAAACGGGUGCGUAAUGCGUGAGUAACCUACCUAUAUGUCAAGUAUAACCUCGCGAAAGUAAGGGUAAUACUGGAUGUGUCCAUUCCCUCAUAAGGGGGGACGGGUAAAGGUCCCGCAAGGGAUUGCAUAUAGAUGGGCUCACGUUCUAUCAGCUAGUUGGUAGGGUAACGGCCUACCAAGGCUUUUGACGGAUAGGUGGCCUUAGAGGGUGGUCACCCACACGGGGACUGAGACACUGCCCCGACUCCUACGGGAGGCUGCAGUCGAGAAUAUUUAGCAAUGGACGAAAGUCUGACUAUGCGACGCCGCGUGAGGGAUGAAGUAUUUCGGUAUGUAAACCUCUUUCGAUGGGGAAGAAACUACCUAUAGUAAUAUAGGAACUGACGGUACCCAGAGAAGAAGCCAUGGCCAACUCCGUGCCAGCAGCCGCGGUAAUACGGGGAUGGCGAGCGUUACUCGGAUUUACUGGGUGUAAAGGGCAGGUAGGUGGCUCUGUAAGUUGAAGGUGAAAUGCUCUGACUCAAUCAGAGAACUGCCUUCAAAACUACAUUGCUUGAGGAUUGGAGAGGAGAGCGGAAUUCCAGGUGUAAGGGUGAAAUCUGUAGAUAUCUGGAGGAACACCAGUGGCGAAAGCGGCUCUCUGGCCAAUAUCUGACACUAAGCUGCGAAAGCUAGGGGAGCAAACAGGAUUAGAUACCCUGGUAGUCCUAGCCGUAAACGAUGAGUACUAGGUGUUGGGGGUUAAACCCUCAGCGCCGUAAGGUAACCUGUUAAGUACUCCACCUGAAGACUACGACCGCAAGGUUAAAACUCAAAGGAAUUGACGGGGGCCCGCACAAGCGGUGGAACAUGUGGUUCAAUUCGAUGCUACGCGAAGAACCUCACCAAGGCUUGACAUGCAGGAAGUAAGAAGCUGAAAGGUGGAUGACCUGUCAAAUCAGGAGCCUGCACAGGUGCUACAUGGCUGUCGUCAGCUCGUGCCGUGAGGUGUUGGGUUAAGUCCCGCAACGAGCGUAACCCUCAUUUUUAGUUGCCACUUUCAAAGCCGCAAGGCCGAGAAAAGCACUCUAAAGAGACUGCUCGCGAUAAGCGAGAGGAAGGUGGGGAUGACGUCAAGUCCGUACGGCCUGUAUGCCUUGGGCUACACACGUGUUACAAUGCCUACUACAAAGCGUUGCCAAACCGCGAGGUGGAGCUAAUCGCAAAAAAGUAGGCCCAGUUCAGAUUGGAGUCUGCAACUCGACUCCAUGAAGCCGGAAUCGCUAGUAAUGGCGGAUCAGCUACGCCGCCGUGAAUACGUUCCCGGGCCUUGUACACACCGCCCGUCAAGCGAUGGGAGCUGAGGGUACCUGAAAUCUUCAAGCAAUUGAGGAUGAAGGUAAAAUCAGUGACUGGCGCUAAGUCGUAACAAGGUAGCCGUACCGGAAGGUGCGGCUGGAUCACCUCCUUU
rnacentral:rRNA from 1 species